rnacentral:rRNA from 1 species
GACGAACGCUGGCGGCGUGCUUAACACAUGCAAGUCGAACGAAGUGGCGAAAGGGUGAGUAACGCGUAAUCAACCUGCCCUUCAGAGGGGGACAACAGUUGGAAACGACUGCUAAUACCGCAUACUGAAGGUGGGGAUUGCGUCUGAUUAGCUAGUUGGAGGGAUAACGGCCCACCAAGGCGAUGUGCAUUAGCCGGUUUGAGAGACUGAACGGCCACAGUGGGCCUGAGACACGGCCCAGACUCCUACGGGAGGCAGCAGUGGGGAAUCUUCCGCAAUGGACGAAAGUCUGACGGAGCAACGCCGCGUGAGUGAUGACGGCCUUCGGGUUGUAAAGCUCUGUUAAUCGGGACGCGGUACCGGAAUAGAAAGCCACGGCUAACUACGUGCCAGCCGCCGCGGUAAUUC